GAUGAACGCUGGCGGCAUGCCUAAUACAUGCAAGUCGAACGAGAGGAAGGAAAGCUUGCUUUUCUGAAUCUAGUGGCGAACGGGUGAGUAACACGUAGGUAACCUGCCCAUGUGCCCGGGAUAACUUCUGGAAACGGAUGCUAAAACCGGAUAGGUAGCAGACAAGCAUUUGACUGCUAUUAAAGUGGCUAAGGCCAUGAACAUGGAUGGACCUGCGGUGAAUUAGCUAGUUGGUGAGGUAACGGCCCACCAAGGCGACGAUGAAUAGCCGGCCUGAGAGGGCGGACGGCCACAUUGGGACUGAGACACGGCCCAAACUCCUACGGGAGGCAGCAGUAGGGAAUUUUCGUCAAUGGGGGGAACCCUGAACGAGCAAUGCCGCGUGAGUGAGGAAGGUCUUCGGAUCGUAAAGCUCUGUUGUAAGAGAAAAACGACAUUCAUAGGGAAUGAUGAGUGAGUGAUGGUAUCUUACCAGAAAGUCACGGCUAACUACGUGCCAGCAGCCGCGGUAA
rnacentral:rRNA from 1 species